GCAAACAAACCCUAUGUAGCAUCUGCUAUAGUGCCUACCCAGAAAUUCGAAGCAAUAAAUAUCUGUCGCCCUCUUAUUUAUAUCUAUCUCGACACAAUAUCUGUAUUUUGGUUGUGACAUUUCAACCACUCCUGUUCAAAGACUUUCCGCAUGCAUGUGAUUUUACAUAUGAUGGUCGCUGAUCGCCGGCAGACUUCCUGGGAGGACUGCAAACGACGUUAAGAACUACUGGAACUGCCAUAUCUCGAAGGGACCGACACCGGCCCGAGGAAAAACCCUCACCGAGAGCAACAUCGUACGGCCUCGGCCUCGGACCUUCUCCAACUCACAACCACCAGCUUGGUCGGCCAUGCUAAUCAGAUCCACGAAACUUCCCACAAACGACGAUCCUAACGGCCCUUCUUCAUCACUAGCAGAAUGCAUGCGGUGGUGGGGAGAGUUGCUCGAGAUCACGGAACGGGGAACAAAAUCCGUUUCUGUUUUCCGACAACGUCCCGCCUGUAAUGGAGUCGGCCAGAAUCGACGAUCAAGAUGGACGGUGACUUGUUAUGUGAUGGCGAUAUAUGAUUUGGAGCUUCACCCACCAAUCAUUGAUAUAUAAUGUUAUGAAAGCUCCUUUUGCUUUUGUAUGUUGUUUUUCCUUCCACGUUCUCUAAAAUGAAAUAAGAGAUACACCAACACUCCUAUUAAUUAAAUAUGAGCCCCUCAAUAAUAUAGGGCGACUCUAAAACUAGUCAUUUUACUAUAAUAAAGAUACGAUUGAUAUUGUG